AGGCAUCCAGAGUCUAGAAUGAGUGUGAACACAGAGACAUGGUUUCAAUUUAAUUUUUAUCUGUCAUUUGAACAGGUAUGAAGACACCUAGAAGCAGCUAGAGAGCAGCAAGUAAACCAAGAGAUAGGGUCCCAAAAAGCAAGAUGCAGCAGAGAAGAAGCACUCGCGUUGUGCGAGAGCAGUCUUGCAAGGUGGAGCGCGAUCCCGGAAGGCAUCAAGACUUGUUCUCCCGCUGGCUCUGCGGUGGCUGUUCAUCGACAGGUUGGAGCAGCUGACGCAAUUCCUCCUGGGCCACUGCCUUGGAAAGGUCACAGACGCACUGACAAAGCUUGUCACUCUGCUUUUAAAACCACUAGGAAUCAAAUCUUAUCAGUAGCUGUGACCAACAACGCUACAUGAAAUGGUUUGCAGCUAAAUAUUCUUUUACAGAUUAGAAACACUGGGAAAACUGGGGGGGGGGAGGGGGGGGGGGAAGAAAAGGUAAAUAAAAACCUCUGUAAGACUGAAUCUAGCUAGUGU
rnacentral:lncRNA from 1 species